UCCCGUAUGAACUGCCUUGUGUAUCCUAAGGGCUGAGUGAUAACGAAAGGCUUUGUGACAGUCUUCACACUUGUAGCAUUUCUCCCUACAAUUAAUUUUUUGAUGCUGCUCAAGGAAUGAAGGGUCAUAAGAAGCGUAUCCACAAUUUUUGCACUUGUAACAUUUCUCCCCAGAAUGAAUUCUCUGAUGUUGCUUCAGCAUUGAAAGAUAGUAAAAUGUUCUGCCACAGUCUUCACACUUGAAGUUUUUUUCAUCAGUAUGAUUUUUCUGGUGUAUAAAAAGUGAUGAGGGAGCACAGAAGGCCUUAUGACACACUUCACACUUGUAGGGUUUGUCUCCAGUAUGAAGUCUCUGGUGUAUAGAAAGUGUUUUAUGAGAACUAAGGGCCUUACCACAUUCUUCACACUUGUAGGGUUUCUCCCCUGUAUUAAUUCUUCUUCGUUUAAGAAGGAGUGAUUCACAAUUAGUGGGCUUGCUGUAAUGGUUAGGAUCAUUGGGUGUUAUUCCUGUUGAGUCAAAGUUGAGAUAUGAACAAAAGUUAAGCAAUAUUCUUUUUACUUGUUAGGCUUAUUUUUAAAAAUGAAGACAUUAAAAAAAAAGAAGACAUUAACUCAUAUGUAUU
rnacentral:lncRNA from 1 species